GCGAAUGUAGAUAAAAAGGUAUAUCGUUAUUUUUCCAAAUUAAAAUUGCGGGUUCGAGUCCCGUUUUUCGCU
rnacentral:tRNA from 1 species